rnacentral:miRNA from 1 species
UUCCUCUUCCUCUUCCUCUUCCUCUUCCUCUUCCGCUUCCGCUUCCGCCUCCACCUCCUCUCAGUUGCAUUCUUCCUCUUACUUGAGCACUUUGUUUGGAUUCAUUGUUCCGAAGCAUAUUAACUCACAUGUGCCCCUUUUUAUACAUCCUGAGGUUCUGAUUUUGUUUCGUAAACAUUUUUGCUUAUUAGUGUUUGCAUCUCGAUAAUUAUGUGUUAAUUGAGUUCAGGUUGUGAUGAUAUUGUGAUGAUUAUUGAAGUCCAGUGCUU